GCAUGCUUACAACAUAGCGUUAAUGCUUCAAAUUCCAUUAGAACUCCAUAGUUAAGCGUGCUCAGGCUAGAGUAGUACUAAGAUGGGUGAAUGCCCGAGAAGUCCUAGUGUUUUAUAUUCC
rnacentral:rRNA from 1 species